rnacentral:lncRNA from 1 species
UGGAAUCACUCAGAAAUCUGCUAUUCAAACUGGUACUCUAUGAUAUACACUCUCCAACUUGAGGGGGGGGGGGUAUUGAAGUAUUAAGGAUUAAUAUUAUCUAAACUAAGUUAUGCUAAGUAGAUAGAUCGGCCCACACUCAAGGUCCAAUAGAAUAGUUAGUAUAAAUAGUAUUGUUGUAAUUAUUUUAUUUAUUUUUGAUAAAUCUUAAUACAAAGCAAAACCCUAGGGUUUCCCAAACGUCUCAUCUCCCCUCCGCGACUCCUCACUAUCCUCGUCAGUCUCCCAACGCUGCUCCGACUCACACGUCACCGGACUCACUACUCUCUUCAAGGUUAUCGAUUUUUUGAUACAGAUCUAAAGAUCCAACACCCUAUCUGGUUAACUCGUAUCACAAUAUUCUUCUCAGGUGGAACUACUUGAUCAUUAAGGAUCAAGUCAGACAAAUGGUGGAGUUGCAAGAGACUUUUGAUUUAAGCACGCCAAAACAGAUAGGUAUCGUUGCGAGGUUCCAACGGAUUUCUCACCCAAUGUGAAACUUGGCAUCGAUGAACGUUAUCUGACAGUAGCGAAGUGGGGGAAUUUGAAGAAGAUUCUUGAGUGGUCAUCGUCGUUGAUUUGGUGGAGAUAGAAAAUCUCCAGAUUGUGUACGUUUACCACCUGAGAUGAGAAGAGAUGAAAACAAAAGAGGAGAAAAAAGAAAACAAUUAUAGGGAAAAAACUAACCUGGCCUAAUGAGCAUUAUCUGGAGUAGUGGGGUCAUCGGUGUUGGUUUGUUGAAUUGGCAGAGAUGGUUGUUGGCGGUUAUGAUGUCCGGUGGUCUUGGCUGGCCGAAUAUUUGGUCUAUAACCUAACGAGCACAGCUUGAAGACCGUCUACCAGGUGAGUGACCGUACCCGAGGAUGUGGUUUGAAGUUUCGAUGUAGCUUCCACCCGUCAAUACAGUGAUGAGUUGCUAGAUUCUGCACGAUCGUUGUCUGCAGGUGGAAGACCAGAGUUCUCGUUUGCCAUGGAGGUGAGUUACGGAAUCUGAAAGCACCAAAUGUAGAGACUUAGGUGCUAGCUCCGACGAUGAUAACCGUUAAACUAAAAAAAAUUAAUACCAAGCAGAAAAAUAUCGUAAAACCUCCGUAGCUAGGGGUGAGAACGAGACGGGUCCCCUCUGGUGUUGGAUCGUGAUCUGAGGCUAUAAGGGGGGAUAAUAGCCUCUUUUCGAUUUAUACAGGUUGAUUGUGAAAUUACCUGUAAACACUUAAUAAACAAAUGGUUGAACAAUAAUGAUAUAGAGAUAUUAUAACUUUGAUUGAUAUAAUAACGUAAUUAUUACUCUUCGAAGCUUACCACAGUAUAUGAAUACUGAGUCAACUUGCUUGAUAGUGUCUUACAAACAACUAUAGUAUAUGAGUACUAAAUUAUAUUGUAAACACAAAUUGUAUUGUAGAGUAAAUGACUAGAUAACUGGAUAUUUUGAUAAGCAAGUAAAUGAUCAGAUAACUGGAUAUAUAUGAUAAGUAAAUGCUUGAACAAAUAUAAGGAUUUAAAGCAAUGAAUAUAACCUCAGAUAGUUGACCAGAUAACUGGAUGAGGGAUCUGCGUAAAGUAGUCAACCUCUGUAUUUGACCAGAUAACUGGAAGAGAGAUCCUUUUCAAUGAAGUGUUGUUUAGUUGUUUUUAGAUGAAAGAUAAAAACUAGAGUUAACAAAGAACAACACAAGAGAUUUAUACUGGUUCACCCAAACAAGGACUAAUCCAGUCCCGACCAACUGUCGGAAUUCACUCGCCUAAAGGUUAUGGCAAACCUUAGAGUAUCAAAGAAACUCUUAAGAACCUCUCUAAGCUUUAAUGCUACUUUACUUAGGAACCAGUCUUUUACGAGUAGACUCACACCUUAGAGUAUCAAGGGCACUCUUAAGUACCUCUAACUUUUGCGGGUAAGUUAAUACCUUAGAGUAUCAAGGAACUCUUAAAAACCUCUCUAAGCUUUAAGACUACUUCGCUUAGGAACCAGUCUUUUACGGGUAGACUCACACUUUAGAGUAUCAAGGGCACUCUUAAGAACCUCUAACUUUUACGGGUAAGUUAGUAUCUUAGAGUAUCAAGGAACUCUUAAAAACCUAGAAAUCUUUCAAGGUAGAUUCGACUUAAGAGUUUUCCCGGAAACUCUAUAAAACCAAACUAGAGCUUUAUGGUUGAGCUCGAAAACCUUCUCUCACACUUUGGUACUAUUGAGACAACCCUCUCAACCAAAGUGGACACACACAAGAGGUGAUUAGAGGAGUGGAAUAUUUAAGCAAACAACACUUCUUACUUGUAGAGAUGAACAAAAAGAUUAGAAGAAGAAGUUGGAGAGCUUUUGAAGCUUUGGAAAGCUAGGACACUUGAGCACUUGAAAGCUUGGAAGCUUGGAGGCAAAAACGUGUGGGCAAGUGUGGAGUGAAAGCUCUUGAGUUUGCUUGUAGUGUGGUGAGUGAAAAUGAGGGGUUUACCUUUCUAUUUAUAGCCUUGGCCACUCAAUGUC